GACGAUCGCUGGCGGCGUGCCUAAACCAUGCAAGUCGAACGGAGUGGCGAACGGGUGAGUAACACGUGGGUGAUCGGCCGUGCACUUCGGGAUAAGCCUGGGAAACUGGGUCGAAUACGGGAUAGUGCAAGAUGAGCUCGCGGCCUAUCAGCUUGUUGGUGGGGUAAUGUCCUACCAAGGCGGCGACGGGUAGCCGGCCUGAGAGGGUGUACGGCGACAGUGGGGCUGAGAUAUGUCCAAGAGUACUAGGGGAGGCAGCAGUGGGGAAUAUUGAACAAUCGGCGGAAGCCUAAUGCAGCGUCGCCGCGUGGGGGAUGAAGGCGUUCGGGUUGUAAACUGCUUUCGACCGGGUCGCGGUACCUGGAUAAGAAGCACCGGGUAACUUCGUGCCAGCAGCCGCGGUAAUUC
rnacentral:rRNA from 1 species